ensembl:lncRNA
UGCUAUAACUAAUCACUCUGGGAGUAGAGGCUGAGGGUUAAGUAUCCUGGUUUUAACCUAUAAUAUCCACAUACAAGCAUAUUCAUAUCAUAAUGAUCAUUCUGAGUCUGUGUAACCACACUCACGAUGAUUUUGUUUUGCCCAUCCAUUUGCAUGAAAAUUUCAUGGCGUCAUUUUUUAAAUAGUGGAGUAAUAUAUUGUUGUAUAAGUGCAAUAUGUUUUCUUUAGCCAUUCUUCAGUCAAAGCACAUCUAGGUAGUUUUGAAUUUCUGGGUAUUGUGAGUCCAACAAGAAUGAACAUGAUUGAGAAAGUGUCAUUUUGGUAGCUGAAGCGUCCUUGUGGAACAUGCCCAAGACUGGUAUCUCUGGAAGGAGAGGUAGAUUGAUUUCCAUGUGGAGUGGUAGUCACUGUAAAUCAAAGGAGAAAAGCUCACAGAGAUUGAAGCAGCAAACACUGGGCUUGCAUGAGUCUGCACCAGGUCUUCUAUGUAUGUAUCGUGCCUUUAGUAUAUUGGGAGUACUUUUUAUUUGUAUUUUGUGGAACCUCUGAUUCUAUGAACAAAAGGGUCUCUGAGUUUUGGGUUUUUUUUAUUUUAUUAAUUCAAGUUAGGGAACAAGCUUGUUUCACAUGUAAGUCCCUUCUCCAUCUCCCUCCCCUCCCUCCCAUCCCUCCUCCCCCACCCCAACCUACCCCCACCCCAUCCACUCACCACUCCCCAGGCAAGGUAGGGCCCUCAACGGGGGCUCUGCAAAGUCCACCAAAUCUUCCUGUGCUUGGCCUGGGCCCUCCCCCAUGUGUCCAGGGCCAGAGUGCAUCCCUUCACGUGGGAUGGGCUCUCAAAGUCCCUUCUUACACCAGGGAAAAAUACUAAUCCACUACCAGAACCUCCCUGGAGUGCAGAGGCCUCCUUAUUGACAUCCAUGUUCAGGGGUCUGGAUCAGUCUUGUACUGGCCUCCCAGACAGCAUCUGGGGUCGAUGUGCUCACCCUUGUUCAGGUCAGCUGAUUCUGUGGCUUUCUUCGAUCUUCAUUCCUCCCUCUCUUUAACUAAAUUCAAGAUUUCCUCUCAGUGUAUAUCUGCGGAUGUCUGUCUCUGCUUCCAUCAGCCACUGGAUGAGGGCUCUAGGAUGGCAUAAAGAGUAGUCAUCAAUCUCAUUUUAGGGGAAAGGCUUUUAGGUUAUCCUCUCCACCAUUGCCUGGAUUGUCAGAUCGUGUCAUCCUUGUAGGUCUCUGGAGAUCUCCCUAGUUCCAGAUCGCUUUUCGAACCUAUAGUGGCUCCCUCUAAUAUGGUAUCUCUCAUCCUGCUCUCUCUCCUCUAUUCCUCCCCCAACUCAAUAUUUCUGCUCCUCCAUUUUCUCUCCUCUGCUCCUCUUCUCCUGCUCUUAUUGUAGCAGCUCCCUCCACCCUACCCUGAUGCUCCCAAUUAGCUCAGGAGUUUAUGCCACUUCCCAUUCCUGGGGUCCAUUGAUCACUUAGAGUCCUUCAUGAUUUCUAGUUUCUUUGGUGAAGAGGAUUAUAGACUGGUAAUUCUUUGCUCUAUGUCUAAAAUUCAUAUAUGAGUGAGUACAUACCAUGUUUGUCUUUUUGUGACUUUGUUACCUCACUCAGGAUGGUUUCUUCUAGUUCCAUCCAUUUGCCUGCGAAUUUCAAGAUUCCAUUGCUUUUUUCUGCUGAGUAGUACCCCAUUGUGUAAAUGAGUUUUGGGUUUUUUUGUGGACUCUUUUCCUCCUAUUGGUUUGAAUUUCCAACUUCUAUUUGAUAGUUGUGUUUUGUCAUAUUCUAAUUUAUUUUGUUGAGUUUUCCUCUUAUCUCUCAGGAUCCUGUUAUUUUCUUGUUUUAAACAAGUUUAUUUAUUGAAAGAAUCUGAAAAUAGUAAUGACGCCUUCAUUAACAGCUAAAAAUUUUUAAAUAUCCAUAUGAAACAUUAAGACUUACAUGAAAACUCCAUGUGUUAUACAACAUUCUUGUAGCAGCUUGCUUCUAGACUUGUGAACACUUUCUUGUUAGAUGUGUUAACCAUGCUCCAGAUACUGCUCUGCUGUGGAUCACAGCAGAGGCCUCUGUGCUCACAAUCACAUAUGAACAGCACAGCUCUGGGGACAAGCUACCACAGCCAACAGCACAGAAGCCAGACCACUUAGGGCCCCAUAGGGGUUUACUUUAUUCAACAAGGCCCCAGUAGGUCCUAACUUUAACAGCAGAAGAGAGCUCAGCGUGGUCACACCUAGAGCUGCCGACCAUCCUUUUUGAGCAGCAUGAGACAGAAGCCGGGCUUCACCCCGGAAGCCAGUAGAAGACUGGGCAGUCCUCCCUUCCUACUCCUGCCAUGAGAGGUGAAGGCAAAACUGAAAGCAGACACCUAAAUGAGUAUCUAUUCCAUAAGGUGUCCCAGACUUGUGAGCUCAUAUGUGGUUGUCAUAGAAACCUGGGGUCAUUAUGGUGACCGUUUUCAAUGGCUACCCAGACAAUGUCCUGGAAAGGAGAAUUCCUGCUAUUUGUACUGAGUGAGCUUCUGGGUUCCCAGAGGAGUUUGGCUCAGUGCUUGGCUGUGGACCUCUGAUUCUGCUUCGAUUAGCUACUGAAUGAAGGCUCUCGGAUGGCAUAUAAGGUUGUCAUCAAUUUCAUUGUAGGGGAAAGACAUUAAAGGUCUCACUGUGUGUGUUCAGGGGAAUGUGAUGAACUGGGAAGAGGAAGACCAUCAUUGCAUAACUUCCACUGAUGGAGUCUGCACAGUAUAAAAGCAAAGGAUUUAAUCUCUGCAUCCCAGAAGCUGGAGCUGGUAGAGAAGAGUACAUUGUGCUGUAACAUCUGUCAGACAGAAAGGGUGACUAGAACAUGGUGACAUUAUGGUAGAACCUGAGAGAAAGCUUCGGGCUCUCCAUCCAGAGCCAGCUUGUGGAGAAGAAACAAUUGUGGUGUAGAGUCUUGUGAGCAUGUUACCUGGGCCAGAGUGACAAGAUCAUGUGGGACACAAUAGGUAGUAGCACAUGCCUUUGAUAUCAGCACAUGGGAGGCAGAGGCAGGCGGAUCUCUGCGUUUGAGGCCAGCCUUCUGUACAGAGAAAGUUCCAGUACAGCCAGGACUACACAGAGAAACUCCAUAAAAAUCCCUCCCUGCCAAAACUCCAUAUUUCAACAUUGGUAUGAGACAUACUCAGGAAUCUUCUUCUGACUGGGAUUUAAAGCAGGUCUCAUCACUGAAGGCCUCCCAAAUCUGCAGAGUCUGGGUCAUUGGCUCUGCACACAUAGCCACAGCCAGUACAACAGCAGCAUCCAAUCCCUUGUUGUUACCUUUGAGGAAGCUGGGGCUUCUAAGGAGUGUGGGUGAGGAGUUACUUAUAGACGGAAGAACCACUGAGGGGCAGCUGUGUCCCUGAAAGUCCAUCCAAACAUGGGCAAUGGCAACAAAAUCUGAAAACCUGAAGCUCAGUGAACAACUUGCUUAUAUAAUCUUGGUGAGGGGAGUGCCUUGUGCAUCUGGUCAGUUUUAAAGACUUCCAGAGACUGCUGAAUUGUUUACUUUUGAGUCUCAAGGAGCCUGACUUUAGAAUUUCCUGAGUCUUAACAAGCCCCGUUUAGAAAUUCCUGGGUCUUAAUGAGCUGUGGAGGAAUUGCUAUACAACGCCAUCAGGGCUGGCGUCCACAGGGAGUGCAGCAGGCAGCACUAUUCUUUAGAACACCCUGCUUCUACUCCACAUAGCCUGUUGUGUUUAUGAUUGCCAUAUUUAACUCAACUCGCUACAAUAUCACUUCUACAAAACAAUUCUUGUUAUUGGUUGCAGUGUGUUGUAUUAUUUUGCUUAGCUGAAAUCUGGAUUCUACUGGAAAUGAAGUAUUUAUACGUUACAUCUGACCACUCUAGGACUCUCAAGAAAAAAAAAAACUAAGAGAAGUAUUGCAAUGGGAGACCCAUGCAAAACUAGUAGAUGAGAUUAACAAUACAGACAAAACAUUGCCAUCGUUAAUGGAAACUGUUGAUUUUAUGUGUUAACUGAUUGAAUCAAGGUAAUCCAUUGUUUCUGGGGAUGUCUGUGAAGAUUUUCCUGGAAAAGAUUAGUGUUUGACUCAGUAGACAAUUGAAUAAAGGAGAUCUGCCUUCAGCAGUGUGGUCAGAAGCAUCAAGCCAACUGAAGGGCCCAGACAGAAGAAAAGCAUGGAAGAACUGUGCGCUGACACUCUACACUAGAGCCAGAAUGUUCUUAUGGAAUGGGUGAUGGUGACUCUCCAUGGAAAAUGCAGGGUGUCUGAGUAUCUAGAGAAAAGACAGGCAGUUUCAUUCCAGAAAGGCUUGUGCUGGGCUCAGCUAAUUCAGAUAAGAAAACUGACCCAGGACCUCCUUUCCUAUUGCACAAACCAACACAGAGGCCCUGUAUGCACAAAUUCACAGCUUCUCUACCAGGCUUUUACACUACCAGUGGGAAUUUUUCCACUGUAAACAUAGUGGGGCCUGCUACCACAUACCUCAGGGAAGUCUGCAGAUUCCAGAGCUUUCUGAAAUUCUUCAGAGUGCUGGAUUCUAAGCCCAUUUGUCACUUUGCAUGGGAGGAAUAAUGAAGGCUCCUACCGUGUUUGCCCCCUGCUUUUUCUUGAUCUCCUCUGCUGCCUCCUCUUGUAGAGCUGUGUGGCAAGAGAAGCUACUCAUCUUAACAGCUGUGAGGAAUGGACUCUUUCCAUUGCAAUGGCCACCUGAUCACUUACCCUCACCAUGCAGGAGCAGAAAUGGAAGGCACAUUGUGAGCACGCAGUUUCAAUUACUAAGGUGACCAUCUCGAGCAUAUGUGCAUGAAAAAUCAUGCACAAGAAUGGUCACAUGACAUAGCGACUCAUAUCAAAGCAGUCCCAGAUGACCUAACUCGAGAAGCCCCAGAAAUACUUUCCAGAAUGAAAAGUGGCCGUCUGCAUAUUAAUCUAUGGGUUCUUUGACAGCUACAUACAUGCCAACACUCAGUUGCUUUGCAUAAUACUCUCUAACCAUCCACAUAUGCCAGAAUCCUAAGGGCACUGAUCUCCCUGAGUGCAUGAGUGUGUGCCCCCCCACCCUACACCUCCCUCUGUUGACCCAACCUUGCCAAUUGACAAACUCCCUCUCGAGUCUUGCAACUCGUAUUUUGAUCACCAGAUGGCGCCUGACUAUUUUCAAAAUGCUAGUUUUUAACUCUAAAAAGGUAUACUUUUUGUGAACAGAAACAAAAAUACUUCUCAAAACCAGUAAUAAAAAAUUAAGUACCAACUUAAUUUGAUUCUCUUUGUGUAUUGUGUAUUAUACAAGACUGGGUGGAGGCACACACACACACACACACUUCCUUCGGCUAUAUCAUCAAUUUAUUUCUGGGCACUAGGAGUUUACACUGUGCCAGGUAUCAUCAGUCCAACCCCAUAUCUACACGUCUCACAAUUCCUUUUCUCCCUCUUUUGAUCUGCUUAUAAAGUAGUGGAUUCCCAUAAAAACGAUUCAAAAUGACUGCCAUCCACGCAUGUGUGGUACAACGUCACCUCUGGCCCAAAUUAUAAUUGAAAAUUGUACCGUCAAAAUAAACCUCGGGAAACCAUGGAAGCUUUUGACCCAUACUUCCCAUGGUGCUAGCUUUCAAGCCCCAACCUGCUCCUGAGUAUAUUUCACUUACGAAGAGGGGAGGGGAGGAUAAGCCCUGUGUGGUGUCAGUCUUGG